UACGAAGGGGGGCUAGCGUUGCUCGGAAUCACUGGGCGUAAAGGGUGCGUAGGCGGGUCUUUUAAGUCAGGGGUGAAAUCCUGGAGCUCAACUCCAGAACUGCCUUUGAUACUGAAGAUCUUGAGUUCGGGAGAGGUGAGUGGAACUGCGAGUGUAGAGGUGAAAUUCGUAGAUAUUCGCAAGAACACCAGUGGCGAAGGCGGCUCACUGGCCCGAUACUGACGCUGGAGGCACGAAAGCGUGGGGAG
rnacentral:rRNA from 1 species